rnacentral:rRNA from 1 species
AGCGAACGCUGGCGGCAGGCUUAACACAUGCAAGUCGAGCGGGCGUAGCAAUACGUCAGCGGCAGACGGGUGAGUAACGCGUGGGAACAUACCUUUUGGUUCGGAACAACACAGGGAAACUUGUGCUAAAUACCGAAUAAGCCCUUACGGGGAAANAUUUAUCGCCUUUUAGAGCGGCCCGCGUUAGAUUAGCUAGUUGGUGAGGUAAUGGCCCACCAAGGCUACGAUCUAUAGCUGGUCUGAGAGGAUGAUCAGCCACACUGGGACUGAGACACGGCCCAGACUCCUACGGGAGGCAGCAGUGGGAAUCUUGCGCAAUGGGCGAAAGCCUGACGCAGCCAUGCCGCGUGAAU